UUUUAAGGUGAUCCUUGUCAAAGUCUGAUCUCAGAUCUCAGAAGCUAAGCAGGGCUGGUUAGCACUUGGAUGGGAGACCAUUGGGAAUACAAGGUGCCAC
rnacentral:rRNA from 1 species